CGGUGCUGCGGGGGCACGCGGCCGUGCUCGCCGGUGUUGAACCAAAAAAAUGACGGAGGGAGCGGGGGCGCGCUGCCGGGCUCGCCAGCGUUGAGCCAGAAAAAGGAUGGAGGGAGCGCUUCUACAACCGAAGGGGCACAUAUUAAUCACAUCCUAAAAGUAUUUGACUAUAAGUAACCUUCCAUAACUAAAUACUCACGUUGUUAUUGGCAGACUGGCUUCUACAACUGAAGGGGCACAUAUUAAUCACAUCCUAAAAGUUUAUGACUAUAAGUAAUUUUUUUACCAUUAGUACGAUGUACCCUCUACUUGUUACUAGACUAUAAUCGCUAGAUCUUUGUAAAUGAACCAAAUAAAUCAAAUCCAAUGAUAAUCAUAGUUAUAACUAAAGAUAUAUGUAUUUUAAUUUAAAUCGUUAUACAACAGAGAAAAGAGAGGCACGUUAGGAAUUCUGGUCAUCAAUAUGGUGGAGCAUCCUUUUAUUACAAUAUAUACUACAUGCGAUUAAUCUUCGUUACCACACCUAAACAUGCCACAAUCAAUAAGCACCCCUAUACAUAUCAUACUUAAUAUAUCCUCGUAAUCAUCUACCAACAUACAUACUUUUAGAUUAUUAUUUGGACUACACACAAUAUAACAUGCUACUAUAAGUUACAAAUGUUACAGAUGAUGAUAGUUACACAAAUCCAAACCUGAUACACUCAAUCAAAAUUGACAUUGAUCCAUGUAGUACCUAACCUUAUAUUGUGUAGAUGAUUGUGAGGCACCCGCACUGCUGCACAAGCACCAGUAGAGAAAUAUCCAAGUAGUGUUUGUCUACAGUGCCAAGACGACCGGUGCUACUAAAGAGUGUUGACAGAUUGGAUUAAUUUUGUGUUGUCAUGGGAGUAAGGUUACAUGUGUUAAAAGACAUGCUACAAUUAGUGACUGGUUCUAGAACUUUGUUCAAGCCUCAGUGUCACAUGACAUAAAAAAUACAUGCGAAUUGGAGUGUGAAAUGCUAUGAUGGGAGAGUUCACUGUAACACGCACAAAGUGAUCAGGAUUAGUGGAAAAUAAACUACAAAUAUUAAUGGAAGAUGUUUCAAAAAUCUUGUGGUGUACCUUUUCACUUUGAUAUUGAAAAUAAAUAAAUUAAUGAAGCAAGCUGACAUAUAUAAUUAAAUUUGUGUAGAAAAUAUAUCUUGCUAACUUAUCAUUCAUAUAAAAACAAUAUUCAAUGUUGUAUUUUCGGGUCCAUGUCUAUGUCCAAAUAUAACUACCGAAUGCACAUCGAGUAUGUUUGAUUGGAGAGAGUAGAUGAGAAGACUUGAUGAAAAGGUACAUGUAAAGUUUUAACAAUUCAUGUCUCCUAUCCUAUCAAUGGGGAUACAUUAUUUUUACUUAAUUUAUUAAGGAACUUAUUCCAUUAGAAAGAUCAUCCAAAAAUUCAAGAUCCAUACAGUGUCAUUGUUUUUAACCAUAAUUUCUCAAUCUAAAACUACAUCUUCCUAAUAGUAUUCACAUAACAAGAUAUUUGCUAUAGUACAGAUGGCCUCCUAAAAAUAUAGUAACGCCAGAAAAUCCUAACACAAUGAAGUCCUCGACGUUAUAUAGAAUAAAAUUAUGCUUUGAGCCAUUAUUAAUAGAUUAGAAUGGCAUUUUCAUAAUUGCACAUAACACAUCCUAGUGAACCAUAAUUGAUAUGUCUUUGUAAGUUUAUCAAAGCAACAUUUGACCAUUGUUUUGAUGAAACACUCAUUAUUAUUUGCAUCAUAAUAUACAGAUUUUUCGUAAGUCCGAAUCUAAUACUAGUGACCACCAAUAUAUAUUUUAUCGCCAUGCACUCAUCUAUCACAACAUACAAAAUAGCAAGUUAGCUCAUGAUCUGAAGUUUAAUUCUCGUGUAGUGAUCUAGUUGUAUGUAAAGGCAACACUACAUCUGAUCAAUAGUAUAUGGUGUUCUUGCAAAUGACAUAAUAAUUUACCACUCGCACAAAUUGAAGACGUUAAAGAUGUUUCCAUUAUGAUAUUUUAUUUAGGAUAACUUUGGGAUAGUUAUAUAACCAUAUUAUUUAUUGUUAGUGAUAUAAAUGUAUGUGUAUGAAUUCUUAAGUUGAUUUGUCUAAUACUUUUCAGUGUGCUAAAAAUAAUGCCCUCACAGCUGCAAGGACCAUCUUGCUAGUUAUUAUUAACAAUAUCUUAAAUAGUGUAUUUUACUUACAAGAAGAAUCAAGUAAAUCCAAAAUAAUUGUAAAUUUAGAAUUAUAUGACAGUCAAAUUUCUUUAGCAUUUUUAUCAUCAAAGAAUAUCCUUAUAAGAAAAUAGAGUGAAUUAUGAACUUAUCACAUAUCACAAAGCCAAGCACACGAAAAUACAUGUGGCCAAAAGCACAUCUCGUGUCCAGUGCAUUGUGGCUUGGCGAUUUUUAUACACACAUACUUGGACGUGUACUGAAUCCAAAGCGCAGUCAACAUUACGUGCUUCCUAUAAUCUUCACAAGGCAACCUUUAUUAGUAUUUCAACCUAAAUUGGCUCGUAGUCCUACUACCGCUUGAGAACACAAAUGCAAGUGCUAACAGGUCUCACACACUGCCAAGUCCAGAUCAACUUAAACGCGCUAGCUAGCUACAAGCAAGAAAUUACCUCAAACUAAUAUGGAAACUAACCAAGCUCACCUCUUGAGGAUUUGUAAAACAGGUACAAAUUCAGAAAAAAUGACCUAGUUGGAAAUUUGACAUUCGCCAAGAGAUUUGGAGAGGGCACUGUUGUUCCACUUGUUCUUGACUGGUCAAUUAGCGACGGGAGAUGCCCACCGGUGCCGCAGGGUGUUGACAAGGCAAAUAUUGAUCCCUACGGCGCAUGUGUUAGCACCCAGAGCUACUGCGUUAAUGCUAGCAACAGCGCGACGGGCUAUUUCUGCAACUGCUUCGAGGGAUACACCGGCAAUCCAUACAUAAAAAAUGGAUGCAAGAAUAUUAAUGAGUGCUUAAAUAAGAACAUGUAUCCUUGUCAUGGAGGGAGAUGCCACGAUUUAGAAGGUGAUUACGAGUGCAAAUGCAAUUUUGGACGACGGGAUGACGGUAACAAGGGGUGUGAACCCGUAUUGUCCAAGGCUGCAGUAGCAGUUAUAGGUGAGGCAUUGUAUGUAUGCCCUAUGUAGUUUCUUAAUGCUAUAACAUAUGAAAUUCCACAUUCGAAAAUAUAUCUCUAUUUCACUGGAUUUUAACACCUAGUAGUUCUGUACAUGUACUAUAUUAUUCUGUGAAAAGUUAAAAAUUACAAUUGUUCUAAAGUUUG